GCAGACAGCUCAUAGGGCAACCGGCGAUUGCCACCAACCUUGAGGACUUGGGUUCGAUUCCCUGGGAACCACGUGGAGCUGGGAGUGCGGACAUACAUGUCAAGUGAGUGUUCCACUACCCAGCAAAAUCUCCAGCCCCCGGUAAUGUAUUUCUUGUUGUUGUUGGGUUGUUUUUUUUUUCCUUUUUUAUUUUCAUUUUUUCCUUUGAUAAAUUUCUUGGGUUUCAGCUACCUGGAAAUUAUCAAUGACUGCACGUGCCCAGCUCUUCUGGACCCUCUGAUGUUCUGUCACAUGGGAGCAAAUGGAGAGCUGGGACAUCCUUUGACCUCAGCCCUCAAAGGUUAGGAAGCGGGCCCCUCCUCCCUCCAAGAAUUCCUUUUCUCCAAGGGUGAUUAACUACCUCAGCCAUCCUUCCAGGAGGGCCAAAAAAGCUGUUUUGAAUCUGUACCGGCUCAGAAUAAUCAGUUCCUGGUAUUUCCGGCUUUGUGUGAAGCAGGAUUUCCUGUUUCAAGGCGGGCUGGCUCCCCUGUCCUGAUAUUAGGGAGUCUAUGUAAUAGAUUACUAAUCCAUACUGUUUUUGUUUUUCUAUUCAGGAUAAUUAACUUCUUGCUCAAUCCCUCAGCAUUUGACCAAAAUACCAAGAUAAAAAUGUAGGCCCGUGUUAGUACAAAAGGUCCUGCAUUCAACUGUCCUCCUUAUAUUGCCCAAGAAGUCUUGUGGAAUUCCAAGAAGAAUUCAAGGGGCCAGACCUGGAAUAUGCAUCAAUGAGAAUAAGACACUGACGAAGCUAACGACACUAACGGGGAAUGAGGAUAAUCGACUCCUGUCCUUUGUUUUACUCUUUAACCUAGUAAUAAAUCCCUUUAAAGG
rnacentral:lncRNA from 1 species